rnacentral:rRNA from 1 species
GCGGCGGACGGGUGAGUAACACGUGGGUAACCUGCCUGUAAGACUGGGAUAACUCCGGGAAACCGGGGCUAAUACCGGAUGGUUGUUUGAACCGCAUGGUUCAGACAUAAAAGGUGGCUUCGGCUACCACUUACAGAUGGACCCGCGGCGCAUUAGCUAGUUGGUGAGGUAACGGCUCACCAAGGCAACGAUGCGUAGCCGACCUGAGAGGGUGAUCGGCCACACUGGGACUGAGACACGGCCCAGACUCCUACGGGAGGCAGCAGUAGGGAAUCUUCCGCAAUGGACGAAAGUCUGACGGAGCAACGCCGCGUGAGUGAUGAAGGUUUUCGGAUCGUAAAGCUCUGUUGUUAGGGAAGAACAAGUGCCGUUCAAAUAGGGCGGCACCUUGACGGUACCUAACCAGAAAGCCACGGCUAACUACGUGCCAGCAGCCGCGGUAAUACGUAGGUGGCAAGCGUUGUCCGGAAUUAUUGGGCGUAAAGGGCUCGCAGGCGGUUUCUUAAGUCUGAUGUGAAAGCCCCCCGGCUCAACCGGGGAGGGUCAUUGGAAACUGGGGAACUUGAGUGCAGAAGAGGAGAGUGGAAUUCCACGUGUAGCGGUGAAAUGCGUAGAGAUGUGGAGGAACACCAGUGGCGAAGGCGACUCUCUGGUCUGUAACUGACGCUGAGGAGCGAAAGCGUGGGGAGCGAACAGGAUUAGAUACCCUGGUAGUCCACGCCGUAAACGAUGAGUGCUAAGUGUUAGGGGGUUUCCGCCCCUUAGUGCUGCAGCUAACGCAUUAAGCACUCCGCCUGGGGAGUACGGUCGCAAGACUGAAACUCAAAGGAAUUGACGGGGGCCCGCACAAGCGGUGGAGCAUGUGGUUUAAUUCGAAGCAACGCGAAGAACCUUACCAGGUCUUGACAUCCUCUGACAAUCCUAGAGAUAGGACGUCCCCUUCGGGGGCAGAGUGACAGGUGGUGCAUGGUUGUCGUCAGCUCGUGUCGUGAGAUGUUGGGUUAAGUCCCGCAACGAGCGCAACCCUUGAUCUUAGUUGCCAGCAUUCAGUUGGGCACUCUAAGGUGACUGCCGGUGACAAACCGGAGGAAGGUGGGGAUGACGUCAAAUCAUCAUGCCCCUUAUGACCUGGGCUACACACGUGCUACAAUGGACAGAACAAAGGGCAGCGAAACCGCGAGGUUAAGCCAAUCCCACAAAUCUGUUCUCAGUUCGGAUCGCAGUCUGCAACUCGACUGCGUGAAGCUGGAAUCGCUAGUAAUUCGCGG